rnacentral:rRNA from 1 species
UUGAACGCUGGCGGCAUGCCUUACACAUGCAAGUCGAACGGCAGCACGGGUGCUUGCACCUGGUGGCGAGUGGCGAACGGGUGAGUAAUACAUCGGAACAUGUCCUGUAGUGGGGGAUAGCCCGGCGAAAGCCGGAUUAAUACCGCAUACGAUCUACGGAUGAAAGCGGGGGACCUUCGGGCCUCGCGCUAUAGGGUUGGCCGAUGGCUGAUUAGCUAGUUGGUGGGGUAAGGGCCUACCAAGGCGACGAUCAGUAGCUGGUCUGAGAGGACGACCAGCCACACUGGGACUGAGACACGGCCCAGACUCCUACGGGAGGCAGCAGUGGGGAAUUUUGGACAAUGGGCGAAAGCCUGAUCCAGCAAUGCCGCGUGUGUGAAGAAGGCCUUCGGGUUGUAAAGCACUUUUGUCCGGAAAGAAAUCCUUGGCCCUAAUACGGUCGGGGGAUGACGGUACCGGAAGAAUAAGCACCGGCUAACUACGUG